CACACCUGUACACCUGUCUCACCCGUACACACCUGUCCCCCCGCGCAGGGCCAGUACAUCCUGACACACCUGUACACCUGUCUCACCCGUACACACCUGUCCCCCCGCGCAGGGCCAGUACAUCCUGACACACCUGUACACACCUGUACACUCCUGUACACCUGUCUCACCCGUACACACCUGUCCCCCCGCGCAGGGCCAGUACAUCCUGACACACCUGUACACACCUGUACACUCCUGUACACCUGUCUCACCCGUACACACCUGUCCCCCCGCGCAGGGCCAGUACAUCCUGACACACCUGUACACACCUGUACACUCCUGUACACCUGUCUCACCCGUACACACCUGUCCCCCCGCGCAGGGCCAGUACAUCCUGACACACCUGUACACACCUGUACACUCCUGUACACCUGUCUCACCCGUACACACCUGUCCCCCCGCGCAGGGCCAGUACAUCCUGACACACCUGUACACACCUGUACACUCCUGUACACCUGUCUCACCCGUACACACCUGUCCCCCCGCGCAGGGCCAGUACAUCCUGACACACCUGUACACACCUGUACACUCCUGUACACCUGUCUCACCCGUACACACCUGUCCCCCCGCGCAGGGCCAGUACAUCCUGACACACCUGUACACACCUGUACACUCCUGUACACCUGUCUCACCCGUACACACCUGUCCCCCCGCGCAGGGCCAGUACAUCCUGACACACCUGUACACACCUGUACACUCCUGUACACCUGUCUCACCCGUACACACCUGUCCCCCCGCGCAGGGCCAGUACAUCCUGACACACCUGUACACACCUGUACACUCCUGUACACCUGUCUCACCCGUACACACCUGUCCCCCCGCGCAGGGCCAGUACAUCCUGACGCUCUCCGAGGACAUCGUGGAGGGCCACGAGCGGGCGAUGCUGAAGCGGCUCCUGCGCAUCGACGCCAAGUGCCUGCACUUCACCCCCAAGGACUGGAGCAAGCGGGGCAAGUGGUGAGGCCACGCCCCCGCCGGGCCACGCCCCCGCCGGGCCACGCCCCCCGUCACCUGGCGCACCUCACUGAGCGACAGCCGGCCCCGCCCACAGCUGGCGCUGCGCGUCCUUUAUUGACCGUAAAAGGAAAGGGGGUGGCUUCGUUUGUGGGCGGGGUGCAGGCACUCUGGUUGGGUUAGGCCCCGCCCGUGGGCGUGGUCAGCCCUGGUAAUGAGGUGGGCGUGGUUUAACUGCUCUGGGCGUGGCCUUGGUCACGCUGGGUCCGUUGACAUCACAGGAGGGGUGUGGCUUGCACAGGCUCCACCCCUGGGUGUGCCCCUGGUGGGCGUGGCCUCAGGGCUCCGCCUCCUCGUCGCUGUCACUCACCGGGGCGUGGAGCUGGGGGAGGGGCAGGGAGAGGGGGUCAGGGAUCCCAAAAAUGAACCCAGGACCCCCAACCCCCCCCCCCCCCCCCCCCCCCCCCCCCCCCCCCCCCCCCCCCCCCCCCCCCCCCCCCCCCCCCCCCCCCCCCCCCCCCCCCCCCCCCCCCCCC
rnacentral:lncRNA from 12 species